rnacentral:rRNA from 1 species
UACGAAGGGGGCUAGCGUUGCUCGGAAUCACUGGGCGUAAAGCGCACGUAGGCGGUCUCUUAAGUUGGUGGUGAAAUCCUGGAGCUCAACUCCAGAACUGCCUUCGAUACUGAGAGUCUCGAGUCCGGGAGAGGUGAGUGGAACUGCGAGUGUAGAGGUGAAAUUCGUAGAUAUUCGCAAGAACACCAGUGGCGAAGGCGGCUCACUGGCCCGGUACUGACGCUGAGGUGCGAAAGCGUGGGGAGCAAACAGG